UACAGAGGUCUCAAGCGUUGUUCGGAUUCAUUGGGCGUAAAGGGUGCGUAGGUGGCGCCGUAAGUCGGGUGUGAAAUUUCGGAGCUUAACUCCGAAGCUGCAUUCGAUACUGCGGUGCUUGAGGACUGGAGAGGAGACUGGAAUUCAUGGUGUAGCAGUGAAAUGCGUAGAGAUCAUGAGGAAGACCAGUGGCGAAGGCAGCUCGCUGGGACGGUACUGACGCUAAGGCGCGAAAGCGUGGGGAGCGAACAGG
rnacentral:rRNA from 1 species